rnacentral:rRNA from 1 species
UGGGGAAUCUUGCACAAUGGGCGAAAGCCUGACGCAGCAACACCGCGUGAGGGAUGACGGCCUUCGGGUUGUAAACCUCUUUCAGCUCCGACGAAGCGAAAGUGACGGUAGGAGCAGAAGAAGCACCGGCUAACUACGUGCCAGCAGCCGCGGUAAUACGUAGGGUGCAAGCGUUGUCCGGAAUUAUUGGGCGUAAAGAGCUCGUAGGCGGUCCGUUGCGUCUGCCGUGAAAACCCGGAGCUCAACUCCGGGCCUGCGGUGGAUACGGGCGGACUAGAGUCCGGUAGGGGAGACUGGAAUUCCUGGUGUAGCGGUGGAAUGCGCAGAUAUCAGGAGGAACACCGGUGGCGAAGGCGGGUCUCUGGGCCGGAACUGACGCUGAGGAGCGAAAGCGUGGGGAGCGAACAGGAUUAGAUACCCCUGGUAGUCCACGCCGUAAAACGGUGGGCGCUAGGUGUGGGAUCGUUUCCACGAUCUCCGUGCCGUAGCUAACGCAUUAAGCGCCCCGCCUGGGGAGUACGGCCGC